rnacentral:ncRNA from 2 species
GUCGUUGACACGGGGUGCCGCUUUUCAUGAAGCGGCUGAGAACACACCCGUCGAACCUGAUCUGGUCAACACCAGCGUAGGGAUGUCUGCACCCAUGGGG